UCUCAUCUCCCUCUCUCCCUGACUCUUCUUCAUGAAGCAUGGGCAAUAAGAAAUUCUCCAGUUCUGCUGCUGAAGGAGAUGUUUCCUGCAUGAACCUGCUCCCGCCUCCCUCUGCCCUGUUCCCGCCUCAGGCAGCUGUGGAGGGCAGAGCACAUUGCCUGGCUACACCUGGGUGAGCGUGGGGAGCAAGUGAGUCAGCCUGGUCUUUUGCUGCCUGCCCAAGCCCAGCCCGACCCAGCCCAUCUGCUCAGGCAGCAGCUUGAUGUUUAUCUUGGACACACAGGAAUGUCUCUUGUGUCCAUGUGCCCCCCAGAAGGUCCCCAAAGCAGAAGAUUAGCCCCUGGAUCCACUGUUUUCUAGAAAGGGGCAAAGAAUAAAUCUACAGAAAGACUUCAUAAAGCUAGAAG